CACCACUUCUCUCUAGGUUCAGGAGAGAAACCAUCACUGCACACGAUGCUUUUCCUCCCAGCUGCUGCUCUGUGCUGUCUGUGUUCAGCAUCACUUCUCCUGAGAUUCACCAGAGGAAACGUCACUGAACACAACGGUUCACACAAUGCUUUUCCUCCCAGCUGCUGCUCUGUGUUGUCUGUGUUUAGCGCUGGUUACCAUGGCCGCAGAGCUGAUGCAGAAAGAUUUAACUUUGACUGCGACACCU